GGGAUGUAGCUUAGUGGUAAAGCACUUGCUUAGUAUGUUUGAGGCCUUGGGUUCAAUCCCCAGCACUGCCA
rnacentral:tRNA from 1 species